rnacentral:rRNA from 1 species
UACGGAAGGGGCAAGCGUUGUUCGGAAUCAUUGGGCGUAAAGGGCGCGUAGGUGGUUCUGUAUGUCUAUCGUGAAAGGGUACAGCUCAACUGUAGCGAGUCGGUAGAAACUGCAGGACUUGAGGCUGGGAGGGGCUGGUGGAAUUCCCUGUGUAGCGGUGAAAUGCGUAGAGAUGGGGGAGAACACUCGUGGCGAAGGCGGCCAGCUAGACCAGUUCUGACACUGAGGCGCGAUAGCGUGGGGAGCAAACAGG